GAUGAACGCUAGCUACAGGCUUAACACAUGCAAGUCGAGGGGAAACGGCAUCGAAAGCUUGCUUUUGAUGGGCGUCGACCGGCGCACGGGUGAGUAACGCGUAUCCAACCUGCCCAUCACUUGGGAAUAACCUUGCGAAAGUAAGACUAAUGCCCAAUGACAUCCCACGAAGGCAUCCGAAUGGGAUUAAAGAUUUAUCGGUGAUGGAUGGGGAUGCGUCUGAUUAGCUUGUUGGCGGGGUGACGGCCCACCAAGGCAACGAUCAGUAGGGGUUCUGAGAGGAAGGUCCCCCACAUUGGAACUGAGACACGGUCCAAACUCCUACGGGAGGCAGCAGUGAGGAAUAUUGGUCAAUGGGCGAGAGCCUGAACCAGCCAAGUAGCGUGCAGGAUGACGGCCCUAUGGGUUGUAAACUGCUUUUAUAAGGGAAUAAAGUGGGUCACGUGUGACUUUUUGCAUGUACCUUAUGAAUAAGGACCGGCUAAUUCCGUA
rnacentral:rRNA from 1 species